rnacentral:lncRNA from 1 species
UGCUGGAAGAGCUGAAUGAACGGGGCAACCCACAAAACCCCUACCAUGUUAACCUACUACUGGGGUAUGGGCACCAGAGUAGUGGCUCAACAUUCGAGACCUCUUGGCCUCUCUCUCCCCUCGCUCCCUGGCGAGGAUACCCUCGAUCCUCCUAGAAAUGCUCACUACCUGUUGAUAAGGAAUGUCCAUCUCCAACUCUUGAUCCAUGCUAGAUCUGAUGGGUGGGAUAAGACCCUUAGUGAACUUGUUUUGGGCCG